AAAAGCCUCCCUUUUCCAGAACUGACCGUCCUUCAGGAAAUGCCCAGGAUUAAAACUGUGAGGGGUUUCCCACUCCUUCUUGUCAUACAUCACAGAGGACAGAUUUGGGAUCAAAAUAGUACCCUGAGACAAGAGAAAGAAAAUCACUUUGCACCUUCUCUGCCACCGCCACCAAGAGAGAUGUUUUUACCCUCCCUUUUUGCUUGCCACAAAGAUCAUUCAUAGUCAAAUCUGUUACAAGCAUGUGUUUCUCUCCUUUUGCCUGGCCAUAUUUUCCUACUUCUUGGCUAUUUGCUUGUCUGAUCAAGAUAUACCUGCACUUUUCCCUCAUCAGCACUUUUUUGGCCAAAGUUCCUUUAAGAAAAGUCUGCAUGAGGAGGCCUCUGUUCCUUGAAGAUGUGUAUGGAUACCUCACCCCAUUGCUUUCAUUCUGAACACUGAGGAUGCAGUGUGCUGGAAAGUGGUUUUGGGACAGCAAAAUAUGAUACACAGGAGUUACCACUGUAAUGGGCAACAAUGAUGCAUUUUUCUCUCAGCAGGAAUGGGGAAAUGGGAGUCCCCUUCUAACAACUCAGUGCUCAGGAUUGGUGUUACCUUGGGCACCCGGAAACCAGCCAAGACUGUGUCCUUCACCGCCUGUCUCGGCACAUUGAAAGGGAUGAUGUUGCCUUUCCUCUGCACUUCAUGUAUGACGGCAUUGGUGUAGGGCAUGUUGUUCCUGUCCUCUAGGGCUGGCUGCCGGGCCUGCCCAAUGACAGCAUCGAUCUCCGCUUGUACAUGGGCUGUUUGGAAAAAGCAGUUAUCAGCUACAGUGCAGCAAAGCCAUGGAUCCCCUGGGGACACCAUGAACUUUUUGCUAUGCAAGUCUUCAAAGGACCAACCCAGGUCAAUCCUGUGCCACCAGGAGACUCCUGGUACCUCCAUGCAUGUUUGUCACUCCAGAUACUAAAUGGGCCCUAUGUUGUCUUCAAAGCCUCUUCCGCUUCUGCUAUAAAGCCCUCAGGGAUCUCCUGUGCUUGUGGGGGAAGUGCCUGUGUUUGAUUCUUGGUCCCAAAUUAAAGCAUUAUGGAAUUACCAGGGAAAGUUUUAAAACAGCUUAGACAUGUGCCUGAAUACAGAGGAAAGCAUUUGUUCCUCAUUUUUAUGGGCACAGGGGGAUUCCUGUUUUUCCUUUCAGCCAAAAGAGAGACUCUCACCAAGGUUUAAAAACAGGAAAAGCACAGCCCUGUUGCUACUCAUACCUUGAAUUUCCGGAUAUACGGCCAUAAACAGCAGGGCCCAGCGGAUGGUUGUGGAAGUGGUCUCAGUCCCAGCAAACAGUAGGUCAAGAGCACAUGCCACCAGGUUUUCCUCAUGGAAUUCACUGCCACUGGGCUUCACAAAAUCAAGUGUUAGUGCCACAUGAACAGCGAGGACUUCCUCAGCACUCACUCAGUUCUGUCCCAAGGGUUUUGGCAUAAGCUGUAUCCUCAUCCCUCCAGUGGAUGCCCCAAAACUAGUGUCCUUUCUGAGCUAACAGAUGGACACACCCGCAGCUCAGGUGGGGAAUUUGAUUUGUUUCUCAGCCCUCCUGAUCUC
rnacentral:lncRNA from 1 species